UACGGGGGGGGCAAGCGUUGUUCGGAAUUACUGGGCGUAAAGGGCUCGUAGGUGGCCAACUAAGUCAGACGUGAAAUCCCUCGGCUUAACCGGGGAACUGCGUCUGAUACUGGAUGGCUUGAGUUCGGGAGAGGGAUGCGGAAUUCCAGGUGUAGCGGUGAAAUGCGUAGAUAUCGGGAGGAACACCAGUGGCGAAGGCGGCUACCUGGACCGGUUCUGACGCUGAUGCGCGAAAGCGUGGGUAGCAAACAGG
rnacentral:rRNA from 1 species